rfam:Cavia porcellus supercont2_1 genomic scaffold, whole genome shotgun sequence.
AAGCAUGUUUCCACAGACUGUAACAGGUUGUGGCCAAGGAUCAUCAAUUGCAUGCAAGUAUACUGUAAAGGAACUCUGACAGCUCAGGUCAACACAAUACCUGCAGCUGGCACUCACCUUUCAUAUAACA